CCUACGGGAGGCAGCAGUGGGGAAUAUUGGACAAUGGGCGAAAGCCUGAUCCAGCCAUGCCGCGUGUGUGAAGAAGGCCUUCGGGUUGUAAAGCACUUUCAGUGGGGAAGAAAGCCUUGGGGCUAAUACCCUCGAGGAAGGACAUCACCCACAGAAGAAGCACCGGCUAACUCCGUGCCAGCAGCCGCGGUAAUACGGAGGGUGCGAGCGUUAAUCGGAAUUACUGGGCGUAAAGCGCGCGUAGGCGGUCUGAUAAGCCGGUUGUGAAAGCCCCGGGCUCAACCUGGGAACGGCAUCCGGAACUGUCAGGCUAGAGUGCAGGAGAGGAAGGUAGAAUUCCCGGUGUAGCGGUGAAAUGCGUAGAGAUCGGGAGGAAUACCAGUGGCGAAGGCGGCCUUCUGGACUGACACUGACGCUGAGGUGCGAAAGCGUGGGUAGCAAACAGGAUUAGAUACCCGUGUAGC
rnacentral:rRNA from 1 species